rnacentral:lncRNA from 1 species
GAGUAUAAACUCCUCGAACCACCAUGACCAUUCAAUGGAGAGGUAAGUCGAGCCUAGACUAUAAAUAAGUGCUUCUCGAGAGGCAACCCGAGCACUAACUGUAUUAACUUAUUUAAAAUUUAGUCUUCAACACCUAACUUACUAACAGAGCUUUUGAAUACAAGUUUUCCACAGAGACACGACCAAGCACACGAGCGUGCUUAGGGCUGUGUGAAAACAGGGCAAUGAUUUUCCCA